GAUGAACGCUGGCGGCGUGCCUAAUACAUGCAAGUCGAGCGAAUGGAUUAAGAGCUUGCUCUUAUGAAGUUAGCGGCGGACGGGUGAGUAACACGUGGGUAACCUGCCCAUAAGACUGGGAUAACUCCGGGAAACCGGGGCUAAUACCGGAUAACAUUUUGAACCGCAUGGUUCGAAAUUGAAAGGCGGCUUCGGCUGUCACUUAUGGAUGGACCCGCGUCGCAUUAGCUAGUUGGGGAGGUAACGGCUCACCAAGGCAACGAUGCGUAGCCGACCUGAGGGGGUGAACGGCCACACUGGGACUGAGACACGGCCCAGACUCCUACGGGAGGCAGCAGUAGGGAAUCUUCCGCAAUGGACGAAAGUCUGACGGAGCAACGCCGCGUGAGUGAUGAAGGCUUUCGGGUCGUAAAACUCUGUUGUUAGGGAAGAACAAGUGCUAGUUGAAUAAGCUGGCACCUUGACGGUACCUAACCAGAAAGCCACGGCUAACUACGUGCCAGCCGCCGCCGUAA
rnacentral:rRNA from 1 species